UGGGCCGGCCGAAAGACCCAGGUCCAUAUACUGGUGGGUAAGACACCC
rnacentral:ncRNA from 1 species